UGGUCGUUUGUUAUCUGGUCUCUUGUGCCCC
rnacentral:piRNA from 1 species